CCUGCCCGCGCCCGGCUGGCGACGCCCCGUGGAAUUACCGCCUUGCCCCCGGCUGCUCCCCAGCCCUCCCGGCUAUCUGCAACUUUGGUGAGAACCACUGAGAGUACAGCAAGAGUGGGGGUGCUCGGGAGGUUCACAGCAUCAGCGGCUGUCGUGACCCAAGCAGCAGAGCACAGUAAAGGGGCAAAAUCUGCACUUCCAGACUUACGGUAGCAAUUGAUCCCACUGCGAGAGAGCAGGCUGAGGAUCGUUCUCCUUGGACCCACCUGGAUCCUUUGCUGGCCUCUGAACCAGCCAUUCUAAUAGUCAGGCUCGAGUCAUUUGCCCAUACCUGAAAAACCUCAAGGGAAAUAGCCUUAGUUUCCUAUUCUUCCACACAUCCAAUCCAGAUGAACUAGUGGAAGAGAAAAUUUUCCAAACGACAAUUCAGGUAGUAUUAAGAAAGAAGUAAAAUAAAAUGUGAACCAUAGAUGUCUGCUACUGUCCACCAUUCUCCAACGCGUACUAUGUCAGUUAGGAGCACUACCGCGCAAAAGGACCGCCUACAUCUGCUCCUUUACUAGUAGUCUAAAGAUCAGAAAAACAAGAAUGCUAAUGGCCACAGAGUUGUAAGUAACUGAACCAAUCAUCCGUGUUCUUUGACCUCAGGAGAUAGUUUAAAAACUACUUCCAAGACGGUUGUCGUGGCUCACACCUGUAAUCCCAGCACUCAGGAGGCUGAGGCA